rnacentral:rRNA from 1 species
ACACUCCUACGGGAGGCAGCAGUGGGGAAUUUUGGACAAUGGGCGAAAGCCUGAUCCAGCCAUGCCGCGUGCAGGAUGAAGGCCUUCGGGUUGUAAACUGCUUUUGUACGGAACGAAACGGCCUUUUCUAAUAAAGAGGGCUAAUGACGGUACCGUAAGAAUAAGCACCGGCUAACUACGUGCCAGCAGCCGCGGUAAUACGUAGGGUGCAAGCGUUAAUCGGAAUUACUGGGCGUAAAGCGUGCGCAGGCGGUUAUGUAAGACAGUUGUGAAAUCCCCGGGCUCAACCUGGGAACUGCAUCUGUGACUGCAUAGCUAGAGUACGGUAGAGGGGGAUGGAAUUCCGCGUGUAGCAGUGAAAUGCGUAGAUAUGCGGAGGAACACCGAUGGCGAAGGCAAUCCCCUGGACCUGUACUGACGCUCAUGCACGAAAGCGUGGGGAGCAAACAGGAUUAGAUACCCCAGUAGUCC